GACGAACGCUGGCGGCGUGCUUAACACAUGCAAGUCGAGCGGUAAGGCCCUUUCGGGGGUACACGAGCGGCGAACGGGUGAGUAACACGUGGGAACCUUCCUAGGGGUACGGAACAACUCAGGGAAACUUGAGCUAAUACCGUAUACGUCCGUGAGGAGAAAGAUUUAUCGCCCUUAGACGGGCCCGCGUAGGAUUAGGUAGUUGGUGGGGUAAUGGCCUACCAAGCCUACGAUCCUUAGCUGAUCUGAGAGGAUGAUCAGCCACACUGGGACUGAGACACGGCCCAGACUCCUACGGGAGGCAGCAGUGGGGAAUCUUGGACAAUGGGCGCAAGCCUGAUCCAGCCAUGCCGCGUGAGUGAAGAAGGCCUU
rnacentral:rRNA from 1 species